GAUGAAGAACGUAGCGAAAUGCGAUACUUGGUGUGAAUUGCAGAAUCCCGUGAACCAUCGAGUCUUUGAACGCAAGUUGCGCCUCAAGCCAUUAGGUUGAGGGCACGUCUGCCUGGGCGUCACAUAUCGUUGCCUGAUGCCAGUUUCCUCGUGAUGGGUGACUGUGCAGGGCGAAUGAUGGCUUCCCGUGAGCAUUGUUGCCUCAUGGUUGGUUGAAAAUUGAGUCCUUGGUAGGGAGCGCCGUGAUAGAUGGUGGUUGAGUGACGAACGAGACCCAAUCAUGUGAGACCCCUACCGAAUUUGGCCUUCAUGACCCACAUGCGUCUUUGGCACGCUCAUGACGAGACCUCAGGUCAGGCGGGGCUACCCGCUGAGUUUAAGCAUAUCAAUAAGCGGAGGA
rnacentral:misc_RNA from 1 species